CGGCCCCGCCGGCCUGGCGCGCAGUCCGAGCCACUCAGAGAGCCCGGCGGCCGACACCCAGGGGCUCUACAAUUAAUACCCCGCGCCUGCCCGCCGGCCGGGACUCGUGCGCCGGCUGUCGGGGACGGAGGCGCCCGGUCCGCCCUGACGAGCUCGCCACUGGCUCUGCUCCGGCGGCGACGGCGACAGUGGCCCGGGCCGACUCUCCCGGGGACCCCACCUCCCCCAGAGCCAGCUUGGGCAGGGGAUCGUGCCUCCACACCGAGGUCCCUCGCUUGUGUGCGCCCCCGGCCCGGGCCCGGCAGGUGGGCGAGGAGCGCGGGAGCUGCCGAGGCUCGGCAGGAGCGCGCGGAGAAGGUGAGUCCGGGGGUGGGAGGAGUAAGGGUGCGAGUGUGGACGCGCCCCCGGGCAGGUCCUAGAGUUUAGCUCGGGUCCUCAGUGGGCAGCCUGAGGGGGCCAACCUGCUGGAAGAGUUCUCUCGGGCUGCAGAACGAGUUGGACAGCCACACCCCCGGCCGGGAGAGCUGCAGGGAGGCCCUGGCCUCCAGCCCCCCGGGACCCGAGAGCCCCGCAGCCCCGGGGCUGCAGCCGGGAGCUCGACAAAGCCUCUCCCAGCCCUGGGACCCGGAGGGCGUGACUGCCACCACCCUGAGAGCUACUGAGACUCGGGACACAAACUUAGUUUCCACACUAAGUAAAAACCGCCUUUCUGGUAUUUUAAGACAGGACGUGCUUAUGCCGAUUCAUCGCGGUUUCCUCGGGCCACCUCCGAGGACGGGGCUGGACCCGCUGGCCCUGGAGGGGGUCAGCUCCGGGCGUAUAUUCGUGUUCUGCGGCGCGGGGACAGCUCUGGUGCCUCCCCCGGGAGUCGGCCCAGCAUGAUCCUCGCGCACUGACCCUAUUCGGGAAGGGGUGCCCGCGGUGGGAGAGGCGGGGGUGCCAGGGCUUGGCCACUCUCCGUGUCCCCACCCUCUCCACCCGCUCCUCGCCAGGUCCUAGGGUGCUCCCGCCUGGUGGCCCAGCAGAGGGCGCCAGCUCCCGGCCGCCGCGCGGGUCGCGAGGGGAGGGGACGUGCGAGCCUCCAGGUAAGGAGCAAAGUGAAUCAUCCCGAGCGGGGACCCGCUCUCAGCGCGGUGGGAACGAGCGGGGCGUGGCUGCGGCGCUGCUGAGAAGACCGGGCCGCGGGGCCGCUGUCGGUGGGGAGCGGCGAUCGUGCCACUGGGAGGUGUGGAAGAGCCGGGAAGAUUCUGGCUAUAUUGGAGAUUGGUUGCUUUCUAAAACGGAAGGAGAAGCCCAUGAAGAGAUGGUGGAUUCGCAUUGAGUUUUGACUGGCGGAAUAAAAGGUAAUCAUUGAUGGUUUCAGAAUAUAUUUGCAGUACUAUGUGGAG
rnacentral:lncRNA from 1 species